rnacentral:rRNA from 1 species
GGUACCACUCCUUCCCAUCCCGAACAGGACAGUGAAACGCGUCAGCGCCGAUGAUAGUGCGGGUUCCCGUGUGAAAGUAGGUCAUCGUCAGGC